AGGCUGCAGUGGGGAAUAUUGCGCAAUGGGCGAAAGCCUGACGCAGCGACGCCGCGUGAGGGAAGAAGGCCUUCGGGUCGUAAACCUCUGUCAGGAGGGAAGAACCCCGUGGAUUCAAAUAGCGUCCACGGCUGACGGUACCUCCAAAGGAAGCACCGGCUAACUCCGUGCCAGCAGCCGCGGUAAUACGGAGGGUGCGAGCGUUAAUCGGAAUCACUGGGCGUAAAGCGCACGUAGGCGGCCUUGCAAGUCAGACGUGAAAGCCCUCGGCUUAACCGGGGAAUUGCGUUUGAAACUGCUUGGCUCGAGUUCAGGAGAGGGCGGCGGAAUUCCGGGUGUAGGGGUGAAAUCCGUAGAUAUCCGGAGGAACACCAGUGGCGAAGGCGGCCGCCUGGACUGUCACUGACGCUGAGGUGCGAAAGCGUGGGGAGCAAACAGGAUUAGAUACCCUUGUAGUC
rnacentral:rRNA from 1 species